CCCUAAAUCUAGAUGUUUUACCCACACAAANACCCGCCCGAGAACUACGAGCACAAACGCUUAAAACUCUAAGGACUUGGCGGUGCCCUAAACCCACCUAGAGGAGCCUGUUCUAUAAUCGAUAAUCCACGAUACACCCGACCACUUCUUGCCAAUAACAGCCUACAUACCGCCGUCGCCAGCCCACCUCAAAUGAGAGCACAACAGUGAGCCCAAAAGCCUACCCCGCUAAUAAGACAGGUCAAGGUAUAGCCCAUGAAGUGGAAGAAAUGGGCUACAUUUUCUAAAAUAGAACAUACCCCCAACGAAAAGAGGCCUGAAACCUGCCUCUAACAAGGCGGAUUUAGCAGUAAAGAGGAACAAUCAAGUCCUCC
rnacentral:rRNA from 1 species